AUUGAACGCUGGCGGCAUGGCUAAAACAUGCAAGUCGAACGUGCCCGCAAGGGCAAGUGGCGAAAGGGUCAGUAAUACGAUCGAACGUACCCCGAGGUGGGGGGAUAGGGUGGCGAAAGUCACCAUAAUACCCCAUGAUCUCUCCGGAGCAAAGGUUUACCGCCUUGGGAGCGGCGAUCGUCCUAUCAGGUAGUUGGCGGGUAAAGGCCACCAAGCCGUAGACGGGUAGCGGGUGUGAGAGCACGGCCCGCGACAUCGAAACUGAGACACUGUUCGGACUCCUACGGGAGGCUGCAGUAACGAAUCUUCCGCAAUGGGCGAAAGCCUGACGGAGCAAUGCCGCGUGUGGGGAUGAAGCGUCUCUGACGUGUAAACCACUGUCAGGGGGCGAGGAACAAUGACCGCCCCCAAACGGAAAGUGGCGGACUAACUA
rnacentral:rRNA from 1 species